rnacentral:rRNA from 1 species
ACAUACCACCGAAGCUGCGGAUUCCGUAAGGAAUGGUAGGGGAGCGUUCCAAACCGCUGCGAAGCUGUACCGGAAGGAGCAGUGGAGCGCUUGGAAGUGAGAAUGCCGGUGUGAGUAGCGAAAAGAGGGGUGAGAAUCCCCUCCGUCGAAAGCCCAAGGUUUCCUGAGGAAGGCUCGUCCGCUCAGGGUUAGUCUGGACCUAAGCCGAGGCCGAAAGGCGUAGGCGAUGGAUAACAGGUUGAUAUUCCUGUACCGCCGAUCCACCGUUUGAACAAUGGGGGGACGCAGGAGGAUAGUGACGCAUGCGGAUGGAAGUGCAUGUGCAAGGUUCAAGAC